AGCGGGACGGUCGGUCGCUUGUCGACUACGAGAGCGACAAGAGGAAAGUCCGGGCAACAUAGAGCACCAUAGUUCUUAACGGGAACCUAUCGGUGACGGUAGAGUAGCGUGACAGAAAAUAACCGCCGCCGCCUGUUACGGAUUGCAAUAUAUCCGCAGCAUGCGGCGGUAAGGGUGAAAAGGCGAGGCAAGAGCUCACCGGGACCGGCAGUGAUGUCGGUCGCCGCACGCCUUAUGGGUUGCAAGGUCAAGUAUACCGGCAUUUAAGGGUUGCUCGCCCAUUGCCGGGGGGUAGACUGCUCAAGCCGCGUGGCGACAUGCGGAUUAGAUAAAUGACCGACCAUGCAGGCGGCGAGAACAUCGAGUCAACUGCAUGACAUAACCCGGCUUAUAGCCCCGCUCGG
rnacentral:RNase_P_RNA from 1 species